CCUACGGGAGGCAGCAGUGAGGAAUAUUGGUCAAUGGGCGAGAGCCUGAACCAGCCAAGUAGCGUGCAGGACGACUGCCCUAUGGGUUGUAAACUGCUUUUAUGCGGGGAUAAAGCUCGCCACGUGUGGCGAUUUGCAGGUACCGCAUGAAUAAGGACCGGCUAAUUCCGUGCCAGCAGCCGCGGUAAU
rnacentral:rRNA from 1 species